rnacentral:rRNA from 1 species
GAUGAACGCUGGCGGCGUGCUUAACACAUGCAAGUCGAACGGAAAGGCCCAAGCUUGCUUGGGUCCUCGAGUGGCGAACGGGUGAGUAACACGUGGGUGAUCUGCCCUGCACUUCGGGAUAAGCCUGGGAAACUGGGUCUAAUACCGGAUAGGACGAUGGUUUGGAUGCCAUUGUGGAAAGUUUUUUCGGUGUGGGAUGAGCUCGCGGCCUAUCAGCUUGUUGGUGGGGUAAUGGCCUACCAAGGCGUCGACGGGUAGCCGGCCUGAGAGGGUGUACGGCCACAUUGGGACGGAGAUACGGCCCAGACUCCUACGGGAGGCAGCAGUGGGGAAUAUUGCACAAUGGGCGCAAGCCUGAUGCAGCGACGCCGCGUGGGGGAUGACGGCCUUCGGGUUGUAAACUCCUUUCGCUAGGGACGAAGCGUUUUUGUGACGGUACCUGGAGAAGAAGCACCGGCUAACUACGUG